AAUGAACGCUAGCGGCAGGCUUAACACAUGCAAGUCGAGGGGUAGAGGCUUUCGGGCCUUGAGACCGGCGCACGGGUGCGUAACGCGUAUGCAAUCUGCCUUGUACUGGGGGAUAGCCCAGAGAAAUUUGGAUUAAUACCCCAUAGUAUUUUCGGUUGGCAUCAACUGAUUAUUAAAGUUUUUCGGUACAAGAUGAGCAUGCGUCCCAUUAGCUAGUUGGUAUGGUAACGGCAUACCAAGGCUACGAUGGGUAGGGGUCCUGAGAGGGAGAUCCCCCACACUGGUACUGAGACACGGACCAGACUCCUACGGGAGGCAGCAGUGAGGAAUAUUGGUCGAUGGUCGCGAGACUGAACCAGCUAUGCCGCGUGCAGGAUGAAGCAUCUAUGGUGUGUAAACUGCUUUUGUACGGGAAGAAACACCGCUACGUGUAGCGGCUUGACGGUACCGUAAGAAUAAGGAUCGGCUAACUCCGUGCCAGCAGCCGCGGUAACAC
rnacentral:rRNA from 1 species